UACGUAGGGGCAAGCGUUGUCCGGAAUCAUUGGGCGUAAAGCGCACGCAGGCGGCCGUGCACGUGGGGUGUGAAAGCUGGCGGCUUAACUGCCAGACGCCACCUCAUACGGCACGGCUCGAGCCCGUGAGAGGUCCACGGAAUUGCCGGUGUAGUGGUGAAAUGCGUAGAGAUCGGCAGGAACACCCAGGGGGAAACCAGUGGACUGGCACGGUGCUGACGCUCAGGUGCGAAAGCGUGGGGAGCGAACCGG
rnacentral:rRNA from 1 species